GACGAACGCUGGCGGCGUGCUUAACACAUGCAAGUCGAGCGGUAAGGCCCUUUCGGGGGUACACGAGCGGCGAACGGGUGAGUAACACGUGGGUGACCUGCCUUUAGCUCUGGGAUAAGCCUGGGAAACUGGGUCUAAUACUGGAUAUGACUCCACGAUGCAUGGUGUGGGGUGGAAAGCCUUGUGCGGCUAGAGAUGGGCCCGCGGCCUAUCAGCUUGUUGGUGGGGUGAUGGCCUACCAAGGCGACGACGGGUAGCCGGCCUGAGAGGGCGACCGGCCACACUGGGACUGAGACACGGCCCAGACUCCUACGGGAGGCAGCAGUGGGGAAUCUUGCGCAAUGGGCGAAAGCCUGACGCAGCGACGCCGCGUGAGGGAUGACGGCCUUCGGGUUGUAAACCUCUUUCAGCCCUGACGAAGCGAGAGUGACGGUAGGGGCAGAAGAAGCACCGGCCAACUACGUGCCAGCAGCCGCGGUAAAAC
rnacentral:rRNA from 1 species